rnacentral:lncRNA from 1 species
GUUGGUGGUGUAGGUGACUGAAAACUCUAUAGCCUCAUUUUCUUUUAAAGUACCCAGAUUGUCUAAAGAUAAAUUACGCUGUUUGUACAAACAUGACGGUCUCAAGAGAGCUAAGCUAAUGUUGCCAGAGACCCUGUGACGUUCUGAAGCAACUUAAAGAGCUGCAGCCAGCACUUGUUGGAGCCAACUCAGACUGCGCAAGACUGUAUAUUCACUGCUGCCAGUGCACCUCCAUUCUGCCGUGUACUAUCAAAGGCUUGCAGGAAAUAUUUGUAAGGCAU